GAGGAUACACUCGGUUCUUCUUCACGCCCCCACAGUUGGGGAUGCACCUUGGUUAGCUAAUUCAUAGAAUGGCUGGUCACUUCAAGGGUGUAUCGGAUUCUGUGGUGAGCCGCCCACGAAGUUGAACUAGAAAUUUAGCCCACUUUACACAAGAAGGGCGGGCGGAGGCGCGUUUGAGCCCUGGGGACGGGGCGAGCGAGGGCACCCUUAAAGGAGUAUU
ncrna:unclassified sequences lysM-Actino RNA